rnacentral:lncRNA from 1 species
CUCCUCAUGCUGCCGCUGCACUACUAAUUGCGCCAAAAAGACGUGGAGAGUGGUGAGAUUGUUGUUCGCGGAGUUGGAGAGGUGCUUUGACACGAAACCCGGAUUGUUGAUGAGAGCAGACCACCAUUUAGAGACACAUUUGAAUCGCAUCAGAGUUUUGGGAGGCAGAGUUAGUAGGAUUUUCACCAACAUAUCUUGUCCCAUUUUCAUUUUGCUGCUGCGACACUACUCGCGCUCUCCCUCUAACGAUAAACAACAAAUUAUGAAAACUUUUUAAUUAAGAUUUUUAAGAAGAAAAAAUCACAAACAGUAAACUGAUUAAGAUUUUAGAUCAAAUCUUUGAUUAAUUCUCGGAAGCAAGGUCCAAUUACAUACAUCCUGAUCUGCGUGUGUGCAUAUCAUCACCAUAGAAACUGAUUAGGAUUAGUACGUAAAGAUUUUAAUUAAUUGUUGCAGAAAUUACCGGAGACGAAAGAGACCCCCGUCGGAGAAGGAGUCGAUGGAGGCCGCACUUGCUGGCUUUGUGUUCUGCUCUACGACUGUGAUGAUAGACCGAGUGUGAGAGAUGCGUUUCUUGAACCCUCUACCUCAAAAGUUGGGCCCACCUAAUUUCAUCCAUUGCUUUCUUUGUGGCCCUCUGGUAGCGUUUGGUUCUGCGAUUGGUACGCGCGCAGGAUGGAACAGGACGGUUGUUCCGUUCUGCAUUUGGUAGCACAUGGACGGAACGGAACCAAAAGAUUAAAAUGACUAAAAUACCCAUGUUUCGUUCUGCGUUUGGUAGCGCAUGGACAAAACAGAACCACAAGGCUUUUUAUUAUUUUUUUAUUUUCUAAGUUGUUCAAAUUUGAACACUAUUAUCCAUUAUUUGUUUUUCUUGGUCCAAAUUUUAAUAGGUAUAUAUUGUGUUCCACAUGCAAACCCCUUUAAAAUUUGUAAUUUUGGGUAGUUUCUUGUAGUUAACCCUUUUAUUGUUUUUUAAAACAAAAUAUAAUUAUCAAAUAAGUUAUCAGUUAAAAAAAAAAAAUAUUGAUUGAGCUUUCAAAUUAUGGGACAAAUAUGUAUAGUACAUGUUUAACAAAAAGAAAAAGAAAAAUAUAUAUAUAUAUAUAUAGUUUAUAACUCGCAACGCUCACAUAAAACGAAAAGAAAUAUGAACUUAUAUUUUGUCACAUUGUUUAGAUACAAAAAAAAAUUGCGGUCGGAUAAGGAGUUCUGAAGGUACUUAACCCCCUUAUUUCAUGGGAGGGGUCAGUAAGAAAUAGUGUUCCUUACAUAUAAAUGAUCUUUAUUUGCUCCUGUCAAUUUCCUCGUUGGUAGAGGAAGUUUGCAUUCUUGACUUGGUCGCCAGAGUACUGCAAGAUUCUGAUAUUGUUUCUUAGACGAUUUCAGGUGUAUCUAUGGUCUAUCGCAACUCAUGUCACCCUUUCUUUCAUGUUAUGUCUGCGAGCCAAUACAAACUAUGUUUAUGGAUUGGCUAGUUGGUUUUUUUUUAAAACUCCAACAUUUGAAUUUUGUUUUCCUCAGAGUAGGAAAUUUUGCUGCGGAUGAGAGCAGUGCUUGGCUGAAGCACUAAGAACAUGCCAGGAAUGCAGGCAAGGUAGAGAGACUGGCCAUGCAGAAAUGCCAAGACAGAAACGACGUCGUCGCCAUAUAUGAUGCCAAGGUAACAAAACUGAGGCUGAACUAGCCCGAAUUAAUGCACAAAACUGGUGCAAGUAAAGGCAUAACGAGCUCAAGGAAUGGCGGAUAGGCUCUUUAAAAUAUGAAAACUUACCUUGUGUUGUUAUAAAAGCAUGGCUCUGUAGAACCUAGGCUGUCGGGCAACUUAAUUUGGUAUCGAAUUUGCUAUCCAUGAGAUUUGAACCUAAGACCUAUCACUUCGAAGUGAAGAGGAAUACCAUCAGAUUUGACUCAUAAGUUUGUAUGAACAUGCAAAAGAAGGGAACAAGUCGUGCAAAAUUUAGGUAGCCUGUUUCCUUACGUUGCUCUAGUUUAAGUGAGAAGCAAGGUGAUUGUAUUGAUGGGUAUUUUUUUUUUGGAUGAAAUCUAGGAUAUCCCCCGCACAUAGGCAAUGACCAAUCCUCGAGCCGGGUCGGACCCCAUGUCAGGGGGCAAGCUUUUCCAAUGUUGGCUUCUCCAUUCACAAGGCUUGAACUCGAGACCUUGCUUAAGAAGAACAAGCUCCUUACCAACUUAAACCACCAAAACAUUGGUGUUGAUGGGUAUUUUUUCGUUUACUCUCCUACCCCACCUCGUUUUGCUUACUCCCAAAAAAAUUAUGUCUUUGGCUUAAGUCUGUGUCUUGCUAAAAAGCCAAUCUUUGUUUAACAACCACACAUUGUCUAACCAACUCUUUCUUGCGGAGGAGUAGCGGCCGAUCUAUCUCAUGGCAAAAGGAAUUGGCAGAGUAUCAAGCUAGACUUUGAAGUAAAAAAUCCAAGGUUUUAUAAAUUGAUGAAGGAAAAACCAACGUGGUGGAUGGGUCAAGCUCUGCAUUUGCAAUCGAAUCAUUAUGACUACUAGAUGCUCAACAAAAUGGCUCGAUAAAAGCUUUUUUUGGUUGACUAUUAUGACCCUAUUAACUAAACCAAUCUGGCUCUGCCACUUUCUGUGUGUAUAUAUUCAAAUUUUAAAAUGAAGAAAGAGAAGUUGGAAAAGAAAUGUGAGAGAGAGAGAGAAAAAAAAAAGAGAAAAUGGGAGUUUUAUUUUAUUUUAUUUUUUUUCUUAAAUUAAAAGUGCUAUGACUACAUGUUAGUGAAGGUUUGAAAAAAAAAAAAAUACAACGAAGUUUGACUUGGGCGGAAACUUUAUUCUUUUUAGGGUAAAUCUCAGUUUACUACCCUCAAGUUUCGUGGUUUUUCAACAUUUGGUACAUCAAGUUUUUUUCUUCCCAGAGUCAUACCUAAAGUGUUAAUUUUGGAACAGUCUCAUACAUCCGUCAGUCAAACUAUCAAGUCUGCCGUUAACUAAUAACGUGGCGCUCAUGUGGACAAUGACUGGGCGCCACGUGUCAAUAAAAAAAAUUAAAAUUAUUAAACUAUUAAAAUAAUUAAUUAAUUAAAAAAUAAAAUAAUAAAAAAAAUCCAGAACCCCUUUGUCUUCCACACCCCGACCCCCUUCCCUUAUCCCUCCCUUCUCUCCUUUGCACCUACCCCAACGUCUGCACAUCCAUCAUUCCCCCUCCCUCUUCGACUCCACCUACUCAACCCUCCAUCCUCUUCGACGACCCAGUUUCUCUGUAUGCAACCACCACCUUCCCCCACCCCCAUAUUCCCCCACUGUUCUUUCACUCUCCCUACAGAUUUGACCGCCUCGUCUCUCCAGAUUUGCAGUCGAUUUUUUCUUGCUUGCUUCUUCCUAGGCCCCAUGUCCAAACCACAUCCCCUCCUCUGUGGAUCCACUCCUAUCCCCUUCUCUAUCGUCCCCACCCCAAUCUCAUCUCCAAUUCUCUUUCAUAAAUUCCAUUCCUAACCCACAAAACAUGGAGAAAGGAAUACCCAUCCCCACCGUCGUUCGAGCACUUUUCUCCAUUCGUCGGAGACCUUGUCGCCUCUAUCCUUGAUCUGGAAAUAUACCUUAUUGCUUCAAACUUGUUGUGAUUUUGGGUUGAAGGUUGCAGAGGGAGUGAGGUUGGUGAUGGGAAGAGAUUCUACAAAUUGAAGCUACGGACCCUGCAAAGGAAUUAAAGCUUGCUACCGCAGGUCUGGGGCGUGGGAGGAGGGUGAGACUGUGGGUGGCUAGGGCUCGUGGGUAAGGUGGUUGCACAGUGGGAUUAUUGUAGUUGUUUCUAGGUUUCUAUGGGGGCUGCUGCUGGAGAAACCAUUGGGGUAGGUCGCUUGGACUAAGAGGUGGUGGAGAAGAUUGGAGGAGGCAUGGAGAUUUUAGAGCUGGAUGGUGAGGGUGCGGGUAUGGGUUUGCAUAGGAAAGAAAGGAGGAGGGGGUUGGGGGAGGUAGAAGACGGGCAUUUUUUUUUUUUUUGGAAUUUUGAAUUUUGAAUUUUUUAUACCCCUUCUAAAAAAAAUCCACGUGGACCCCUUAAUGACACGUGGUGCACAGUCAUUGUCUACAUAGGCGUCACGUCAUCAGUUAACGGCAGACUUAACAAUUUUAACUAACAGAUGUAUGAGACUGUCCCAAAAUUAACACUUUAGAUAUGAUUCUGGGGCGAAAAAAACUUGAUGUACCAAAUGUUGAAAACCACAAAACUUGAGGGUAGUAAACUGAGAUUUACCCUUCUUUUUAAAUAAACGAUAUUAUCUACAUUAAGGGGGUAAGAGGGUGGGGGAGUGGGUUAAGGCUCACAAUGGGUGAGCCAUAAUAAUGUGGUUCAAAUUCGCCUUUGUUGAAAAUCGAACCUAAUACCUCUCACUUAUCAAUGAAGAGAAAUACUAUUAAACUGUAUUACUAAAUGACAAUUUGGAUGGAAUUAUAUACUAUAUUUCAUUUUUUGAUGGAAUACUAAACCGUCUUUUCACUUUUUUUCAAUUGAUAAGGAAAAUUUAAUUAAUAAGUAGUUUUGAAAAUAAGUACCAUAUUCAUUAUAUGAUGCUAAAAAUGAGUCUCGAUAAAAACUUUGUCAGAAAUUUUAAUCCUAUCUAAGAAUUAUUUUUUAUUAAUAAGUAGUUUAAAUAACUUUUCCAGACCGAGUGGUGGAUGGAUUGUAUGAAAGUGGGAGAAGUCCAAUACCAAUUGUGUACAAUUAUUAUAAUUUAUGACAUCACCCACUUUGACAAAAGCUUGAAUACCAGUGUACGAGGAAAGAUCACAUACGUCAUUCGCCAGUGCACGUGACCCUCUGGUGACUGCCACGUCAUCUAUUUAAUCCCACCCAACCAUCUCGCCCCAGGUGUCGGCCUCCCACUGGUCCUUCCACACGCUAAAGAUCUUACUCCUCUCAUGUAAACCCACCGCACUCCGUCCUCCAUUUCCCAAACUACCCCCGCCUUUUCACGAAAUCCCCAAUACGCCCCUCCCUGGACUUUGCACCCAGCGGCUUGUCUCGGAGCCAGUUUUCUUACGGGAGUGUCCCCUCCUUCGCAAAAACAAAGCCCCGCCUCUCUCCCUCUCUCCCCCUCUCUCUCUCUGCCCCCGUCUUUCACUGGUAUCGUUCGUCUCUCAGAUUCGUCGAUCGGACGGUUCGUUGCGCGGCAGCAAUGACUAUGAUGACUCCUGCACCGUUGGAUGUACGUACCGACUCCUCUACAUUUCCACUCUCGGUUUAAUUUCAUUGGGUUUCGGCUUCGUUCUUCGUUUCUGAUCGCCUAUGGAUCUUGGUGGCGUUCGGCGGUUUCGAACUGGGAUGAAUUUUGGGAAUUCACCGACUUAAAGUGAUUGAUUUGCUAGGGUUAUGAUUCAGUAAGAUAGGGUUAGGUUUUUCUCGAUCAGAGCUCUGAUUUUUGUUUUCUUUUGUUAGCAGCAGCAGCAAGAGGACGAAGAGAUGCUUGUGCCGAACUCGGAUUUGGUCGAAGGUCCUCAGCCAAUGGAAGGUUUAAUUUUUAGCAAUUUUUUCGAUGAGUUACUGUUUGAAUUUCUUAUGUUUGUGUUUAUGGUGUGGUUUUGGAGCGUUAUGUGUGGCGUAGUUGAUCUGAAACAAUUGGUUUUUGUGCGAAUUUGGCAUCACAGGGUUUGAUUAGAGUGCAAGUGUUUGCAUUUUCUUUAGGGUUUUGGUUUUGUUUUUUUGAAAUUUAUGGUAUUUGGUGUGUUGGUAGUAGCCCAAGUGGAGCCAGCUAGUACAGUUGAUAGUCAACCAGUGGAGGAUCCUCCAACGAUGAAAUUCACUUGGACAAUUGAGAACUUUACUAGGUUGAACAUCAAGAAGCACUACUCUGACAUGUUCGUAGUGGGGCGGCUAUAAAUGGUAUUUUUUCUUGUCUACCAGAUGUCAAAAACUGAUUAUAACGCUACUUAAGAUUGGCUUAUAUUUGUAGGUGAUUGGAUUUUGAAUUGCUUUUGGUUUGUUUGAUCAGGCGGAUACUAAUAUUUCCCAAGGGAAACAAUGUGGACUACUUGUCAAUGUAUUUGGAUGUGGCAGAUUCCGGGACAUUGCCAUAUGGGUGGAGUAGAUAUGCACACUUCAGCUUGGCUGUAGUUAAUCAUAUCCAUACCAAGUACUCAAUAAGAAAGGGUAUAUUCCUUUAUUAGUCUUGUUUCUUUUUAGCAUUCAAGUCUGUGCGUUUGCCUGGUUGUCGUAUUCUGUUUUCUUGUUUUCUUUCAGUGAGAGCUUUGCUUGUUGUUGGGUAGUCAUGGGCACCCAAGGCUUUUAAUUAGAAUUUAUUAUCCUUGGAAUGGACCUACCUAAAUGUGACUACGGGACAGAGGUUCGGGGCCGAAGGAGUAGAGGAAGACCUAGGAAAACUUUGGAAGAGACCCUAAGAAAAGACUUGAGUACUUGGAUCUAACGGAGGACAUGACACACAAUGAGCGCAAUGGCGUUCUAGGAUUUAGCCGACCCCACUUAGUGGGAAAAGGCUUUGUUGUUGUUGUUGUUGGAAUGGACCUACCUGGCUUUCAACUUCAUAGUUCUUGGGUGAUGCCAUUUGAACGCAAACAAUAUCUAAUUAACCACUCUAAUCUUGUUAUUGUGAGCUUUUAAUUCUAAUUUUUCUCAUUGAAAUAUCAAAACUAUAAAGUAAAGAAAAUUCUUCCACCCCUUUCUCUCUAAAAUCUUGGCUAACGGCAGCAGCACCAUCGUCUGACUAUGUGCCCAUGGCGCCUUUGUUUGGGGAUUUUUGAAGUUUGAGAAAAAGUGAAUAAAAAAAUUAUGGAUUAAAACGUACCAACAGAUGUUAGAAGUAAAUUGAAAACCAAUAGAUUAUUCCUUUUAGGUAUCUAGAUGUCAAAUAUAGAUUAACAGUAAAGGUAGAAACAGGAAGAAUUUACUUGGAAAUUACGUGCAAUUAAAGGGUGAAUUUCUAGGUAAUGAAAAGGCUAACUGAAUCAAGGGUUCCCAUUUAUUAAGGGAUGAGCUUGAGGCGGGUCUGACGAUCAGAUAUGGUAAAGAAUUGUAUUUUAUUGGUGUGACCUAUGUUCUAGAACAUUAAUUUGCAAUGCGUUUAACCAGAAUUGAACAAUCUUUAAUCAUAUUCAAGAUGUUUUUUUAAGACCUUUGUCGUUCAUUGUUGUAUGAUGUUGCAGACACUCAGCACCAAUUCAAUGCAAGAGAAAGUGACUGGGGAUUCACUUCAUUCAUGCCUCUUGGUGAUCUUUAUGAUCCGAGUAGGGGAUAUCUGGUGAACGAUACAGUUGUGGUUGAAGCUGAGGUUGCUGUCCGUAAGGUUCUAGAUUACUGGUCAUAUGACUCGAAAAAGGAAACUGGUUAUGUUGGGCUCAAGAAUCAGGGAGCAACUUGUUAUAUGAAUUCUCUUCUCCAGACUUUGUACCAUAUACCGUACUUCAGAAAGGUCAUUUACGUGAUCUCCUGUUUUCAUUGUAAGCUAAACAUGAAUUGUUUGAAUUUUCUAUGAAAAGCAUUAUCUCAAUUUUGGACUUACUUACCAGGCCGUGUAUCAUAUGCCAACAACUGAGAAUGACAUGCCUUCAGGAAGCAUCCCUUUGGCGCUACAAAGUUUAUUCUAUAAGCUUCAAUACAAUGACAGCAGUGUUGCAACCAAAGAAUUGACCAAAUCCUUUGGAUGGGAUACAUAUGAUUCUUUUAUGCAACAUGAUGUGCAGGAACUUAAUAGAGUUCUUUGUGAAAAGCUUGAAGAUAAAAUGAAGGUAUAGGAAGCUUUCAGUUUUUGCUAUUGCUGUAGCUUUUGUUCAUUUCAUUUUGAUAAUUGUUCUGUGGGCCCAGGGAACUGUUGUGGAGGGUACAAUACAGCAGUUGUUUGAAGGACAUCACAUGAAUUACAUUGAAUGCAUCAAUGUGGAUUACAAAUCUACAAGAAAGGAAUCAUUUUAUGGUAAUAUUUUAUUGGCACAAUUUCAGUUGUUAAGAGUUGGAAAUAUUUUGUAAAUGUCAGUGCAUGCCACUGGUUUCUUCUUAUUACUUUGCAGACCUACAGCUUGAUGUGAAAGGCUGUCGGGAUGUUUAUGCUUCUUUUGACAAGUAUGUGGAAGUUGAACGUCUUGAGGGUGACAAUAAAUACCAUGCCGAAGAACAUGGUUUGCAGGUUAAUUACCGAAUCACUUUCGGGGGGCUGCAUUUAUACUAUACAUAUAAUCUGAGGCUGCUCGUAGUUGCAUUAUUUCCAAAACUAGGGUUUACAUUGUUUCCUCUGCAGUGAAGUAUUUAAUAUAUGUUCCGAAAACAUGUGUUGGUGGUGUCAUGCAUGAUAUAUUUUAAAUUCUGAUUGGAUGCGUCCUCAGUUUUUUUUCUUUCCAUUAAAUCGCUUGCUGAAGCAAGUAUUCUUACAUAUAUUUCUUCGAUAUUAAAAAUUUACAAUAUUGCUCUCAAGGAAUAUUUUGGAUGUUUAUUCCAGGAUGCUAAGAAGGGUGUUCUGUUUAUUGACUUCCCUCCCGUUCUUCAACUUCAGCUAAAGCGAUUUGAAUAUGAUUUUAUGCGGGACACUAUGGUUAAGGUUGGUACUGGAAGCUCAUCUUCCUCCUUUAGCUUCAUCUGUGUUUAUACAUGAAACAUUGAAACUGUGAUGUUUUACUAUGAAGGUAUGCUUCUUAGCUGAAAACAAAAGUGUACCAUGUAAAAUAUAUUUCUUCACAUUUUGUAUAAAUUCAGGUGAAAGCUUGUCUUUGCCUAAUGGGUUUCAAUCUAAUUUUAAUUUUGUUUUAUGACUGGAUGCUGAAAGAUGGAUUAACCCCUAUCAAUAUGGUUCUUUUUGUUCCUUUCUUUUUCUCAACAAAAAAAACAAAGCCUUUUCCCACCAAGUGUGGUCGGCUAUAUGAAUCCUAGAACGCCAUUGCCCCCGGUUCUAUGUCAUGUCCUCCGUUAGAUCCAAGUACUUAAGUCUUUUCUUAGAGUCUCUUCCUAGGUCUUCCUCUACCCCUUCGGCCCUAAACCUCUGUCCCGUAGUCGCAUCUUCUAACCGGAGCAUCAAUAGGCCUUCUUUGCACAUGUCCAAACCACCGUAACCGAAAGAAAAAAAAAAAACCUCAUUGUUUUUCAGUUUCUUUAUAGUUGAACUUUCUCAAUCUAAUGGAUUAUUUUUAUUCAAAGUUAUAUAUACUAAUGAAAUUCGUUUUUACCUGUUGGGUAUGUUUGUUCGUGUGGCAAUGACAUUUUUUAAAUGGAAAGCAAAUAAAUUAUCAUGGUAAGAAUGUUGUAUUAUUUGUUUUUGGCAGAUAAAUGAUCGCUAUGAAUUUCCUCUUCAACUUGACCUUGAUAGGGAGAAUGGAAAAUAUCUAUCACCUGAAUCAGAUAAGAGUGUUCGCAACCUCUACACUCUUCAUAGGUAUCUAUUUUGCCUUGUACUAUUACAUGAUAUAAUAUAGAUCAUCUAUUUCCUAAAUUUGGCAUGUUAUUUCAAAGGAUUGUACUUUCUAGACCUUUGCAUGUGCAUGGCAUUAUUUACUGAGUGUAACAUAACCAAUUUUCUUCUUGUCUUGACAUAUGAUAUCCCCAGUGGAUAGAUCCAAUUUUUUUCAUUGAAAUUGAAGCUGGGUUAUAGAACUAUCUAAUGUAUGGUCAUUCAUGAUGUCUAGGAGUCUACUUAUUUAUCAAAGUUCUUUCAUGCCUACGACUAUUAAGGCAUUGUGCCUCUACUAUUAGUUGAGUGGGUGGGAUUAUGAAAAAAAUUUCGGGUUUAAUUUAUCAGUUGUGCCCAGUAGUGAUUAUGGUAGUUAAAAAUACUAAUACAAUAUAUGAAGAGGGUUGUUCGAUCCUGCUUUUGCAUAUGCCUGUUUGGUCAUGUUGUGUGGAGCUUCAUAAAUUUUACUUUGUAGUUGGUUACUUACUAUGAUAAUUUUCUACUGUUGCAGUGUCUUGGUGCAUAGUGGUGGGGUGCAUGGUGGCCAUUACUAUGCUUUCAUCAGACCAACCCUCUCAGACCAGUGGUAUGGACGGAUCUCCUGGAAUCGAUUCUCUCUGUAGUUGUCUGGAGUCUCACACAGAAAACACAUGAAUGCAGAGACAGACAUUCUCUCACACUGCUCUCUUGCUUUGCUUCUUACUUUUUUUUGUUGGUCCUUGUUCAAAUAAGAUGGUUUUAUUGGAAUCUAUAUAUUUCACAUUGCUUUUCUGAUGGAUUCUGGUACCAUAACUUGGUUACCUGACUGCUUGCUCUUAUGCAUGAAUGAGUGUUCUUGUGCAUGCAUUUCAUGUGUUGAUGUAAUUUGUCAUGUCUUGUUUUAGGUACAAAUUUGAUGAUGAACGUGUGACAAAAGAGGAUGUGAAGAGGGCUUUAGAAGAGCAGUACGGUGGUGAGGAAGAGGUAGUUUAGUUUUUGCUGUAUCCAACCUGCUAUAGUUUCUCCUUGAUUUUAAAGUUUCUUAAUUGUCAACUGACCUAUUGUUGUUUUCUUUCCAACAGUUGCCACAGACCAAUCCUGGCUUCAAUAAUACUCCUUUCAAAUUUACAAAAUACUCAAAUGCAUACAUGCUUGUGUAUAUACGGGACAGUGAUAAGGACAAAAUAAUAUGUAACGUGGAUGAGAAAGACAUAGCCGAACAUCUAAGGGUAAUGGUAUAUCAAGCAUAAGUUCUGAUUCCAGUGUCCAAUUAAGAGAAUGAACUGACAUUCUAUGUUCCAUUUCAGAUAAGGUUGAAGAAAGAACAAGAAGAGAAAGAGGACAAAAGGAAAUAUAAGGCACAAGCACACCUCUACACUAUUAUUAAGGUAAAGGUUUCUAGUUUAUCCCCAUUUUCACCAUUGUUUGUUCAGAUGUGGUAUGACAGGUGUUUGGUGUGGAACAAAAAAAUUAUGGCAAAAUUUAAUGAUGUGUUUAGGUUGCUCGAGAUGAGGAUCUGACAGAACAAAAUUGGAAGGGAUAUUUAUUUUGACCUAGUGGACCAUGACAAAGUUCGUAAUUUCCGUGUUCAGAAACAAAUGCCCUUUAAUCUUUUCAAGGUACACCAGUACAGGCUGACUUUGUGCAUUUAUGUCUUCUGUAUUCUUUUCUACCAUUUGGGGUUAUGUUUAAUAUGGGAAUUCCUAAAUUUGAAAUGGUUAACAGGAGGAGGUUGCGAAAGAGUUUGGCAUACCAGUGCAGUUUCAGCGUUUCUGGAUUUGGGCCAAGAGACAAAACCACACAUAUCGCCCCAACCGACCAUUGACACCUCAGGAAGAAACACAAUCAGUACGUACUUUGUACUUCCUACCUUUGAAUGGAUUUUCAAUACAAGAUGCCCUGCUCCUUGCCCACAUGCUUUGUUUUCAGUUCUAUUCGUAAUUCGUAAUUCUUAUUAUAUCUGAAUUAUUACUUUUCCUCCAUUUGGAUUAAUAGCGGAUGUUGUCUUUGUAUAGUCUAACACUGAACUGCUCAAGUUUAUGAAUGAAUGAUGGAUGAUUAUAAUUGUUAUUAUUAUUUGUGAAAUUGGAAUUUAACUAAGUGCUUAAUGGAUUGGUCAGUGAUAAACAUUCGAUCUCAGAUUUGGAAUGAUUGAUAGUGUUUUUAACUAGACUUCGGUGCUAAGAAGAGCUUGGUUUAGGUGAUGCAAAGCUAAUGAUGACCGCUUGCAUUUUUCAGGUUGGACACUUGAGAGAGGUAUCAAAUAAAACACACAAUGCAGAGCUAAAGUUGUUUCUGGAAGUAGAGUUUGGGCCGGUAAUCAGUCUUACUCUAUUCUUGUUACUACCUGUGUAGUGAAGCUUAUUGGAGUUCCAAUUGCUGUAUGAAAGGAUUUUUUUCUUACAUUUUAUUGUUUCUGUACAUUUUCCAGGAUCUACGUCCUAUUCCUCCGCCUGACAAAACCAAGGAAGAUAUCCUUCUUUUCUUUAAGCUUUAUGAGCCUGAGAAACGAGAACUACGGUACAUCCUGCUCUUUCUGCUUAGCUGAAUAUUUUUAUCCUUUGCCUUGUGUUUGCUAAUUUAAGUUUCUUUUCUGUUUCCAGUUUUGUUGGUAGGUUUUUUGUGAAGAGUUCUAGUAAACCAGCAGAGAUUUUAGGAAAAUUAAAUCAACUGGCUGGUUUUACCCCUGAUGAAGAAAUUGAGCUUUAUGAGGUGUGUUUCACUUUAAAUUUUAGCAUAAGGUUGUGUCGUAGCUCACACGCACACACGCACACACUCAUAUAUAUUGUACAUAGACAUGUAGAAUAUAUAUGUAUAUUUAUAAUUUGUUGCAUGCUUUGCUGUAGCAUUUUAAGCAAACUUAAUACAUGUUUUUGUGCUACAAUUUCAGGAAAUAAAGUUUGAGCCAUGUAUCAUGUGCGAACAUCUUGACAAGAAGACCUCAUUUCGAUCGAGUCAGGUAACUGUUGCUAUAUUGCAUGCUUGGUAUAUUACAAAUAUGUGUGUAUUAUAGGAAUUAACGUUUUGAUUCUAGGUAUAUUUUCAGUUAACCAUCGGUUGCGUUCCUUUUCCAGAUUGAAGAUGGGGAUAUUAUUUGCUUUCAGAAGUCUACUCCUCUUGAAAGUGAAGAAGAAUGUAAAUAUCCUGAUGUUCCUUCAUUUUUNNNNNNNNNNNNNNNNNNNNNNNNNNNNNNNNNNNNNNNNNNNNNNNNNNNNNNNNNNNNNNNNNNNNNNNNNNNNNNNNNNNNNNNNNNNNNNNNNNNNNNNNNNNNNNNNNNNNNNNNNNNNNNNNNNNNNNNNNNNNNNNNNNNNNNNNNNNNNNNNNNNNNNNNNNNNNNNNNNNNNNNNNNNNNNNNNNNNNNNNNNNNNNNNNNNNNNNNNNNNNNNNNNNNNNNNNNNNNNNNNNNNNNNNNNNNNNNNNNNNNNNNNNNNNNNNNNNNNNNNNNNNNNNNNNNNNNNNNNNNNNNNNNNNNNNNNNNNNNNNNNNNNNNNNNNNNNNNNNNNNNNNNNNNNNNNNNNNNNNNNNNNNNNNNNNNNNNNNNNNNNNNNNNNNNNNNNNNNNNNNNNNNNNNNNNNNNNNNNNNNNNNNNNNNNNNNNNNNNNNNNNNNNNNNNNNNNNNNNNNNNNNNNNNNNNNNNNNNNNNNNNNNNNNNNNNNNNNNNNNCACUACUAGUCUAUUACAAAAUAUUAAAUGUGCAAGGAUAUGCAAAAAGAAAGAGUUUUUGUUUUCAAGGUUAUGAAGCAUUUCUCAAAAGUUUUAAACCUUACUAAUGGAACUCAAAACUUGCAUGUUAUUCCUUUUACAAAAUCCUCAAUUUUCAUCGAUCAUCAUGACAUAAGAUUUUGUGGCAUCCACUUGUGUAAAUAUUUUAAAUUGACAAUAAUCAAAUUAGUUCAUUGUAUUCAUAUAGGAUUAAGGAGUGUAGCUUUUAAAAAAUCAUCAAAAUCGGAGUUAAAAUAACCGUUAAAUGAUUUUUAGUUUAUAACCGUAAAAUUUUUUUGUCCCAUUACUUGAUCUCUGAAUGUUUGUUUUUUUGCAAUUUUUGGCGUAUGUGAUCUCGAAGUAUAUACAAACAUGUUUGAUGGUUGGAUCGUUGAAACUAGUUUCGUAGAAUGCGUAUCCCAUCAAAACAAUAGAUUCACUAACACUUAAGAGUUUAUUCAUAUUUUCAUUAAGUAUAACAUAAAAUUUUGUAGUAUCCACUUGUGUAAAUAUUUUAAAUUGAAGAUCGAGUUCAUUCAUUGUAUUCAUAUAGGGUCAAGGAGUGUAGCUGUAAAAAAUCAUCAAAAUCGAAGUUAAAAUAACCGUUAAAUUGUGAUUUUUCUUUGAUAACCAUCGAAAAGUUUUGUCCCGUUACUUGAUCUCUAAAUGUUUGUUUUUUUCAAUUUUUGGCGUAUGCGAUCUCGAAGCAUAUACAAACAAGUUCGACGGUUGGAUCGUUGAAAUUAGUUUUGUAGAAUGCAUAUCCCAUCAAAACGAUAGAUUCACUAACACUUAGAGUUUAUUUAUACUUUCAUUAAGUAUAACAUAAGAUCGAAUUCAUUCAUUGUAAUCAUAUAGGGUCAAGGAGUGUAGCUGUAAAAAAUCAUCCAAAUCGGAGUUAAAAUAAUCGUUAAAUCGUGAUUUUUCGUUUAUAACCGUUGAAAAGUUUUGUCCCGUUACUUGAUUUUUGAAUGUUUAUUUUGUACGUAUAACACUUAAGAAAUUGAAUGAUAUGUAUAUUUAAGCCGAUCCAAUGGUCACCAAUUUUAAAAUUUAAUAUACAUAUAUAUAAUUAUUAUAGUUUUUAGGGGUAUAAAAUUGUUAAAUUAAUAUAUAUAAUUAUUAUAGUAUUUUUUUUAGGGUUAUAAAAUUAUAAAAUUCAUAUUUUACUUAUCGUGUAUCGUGUUACCCACGUGUAUACCCGAACCAACUCGUUAUCUUAACAGGUGCUUAUCGGGUUACCCAAUAACGACAUGAUUCGUUAUCGUGUUGAUCCGAACACCUGUUAAUUUCGUGUCGUGUCGUGUCAGGAAUUGCCAGGCCUAGUUCCAAGUUUGCUUGUAGCGCACGUAAACGAUAGUUGAGUUUGUGAUAAGUUCAAUUUCUUCAUUAUACAUGAAUUUCUCCAUAUAUAUAUAUAUGCAUAUUACGUACUUAUGUGUGUACUAUAGUUACGUAGGUGAGACAUUUGUACUAAAACUUAUGUACUAAUGUAUUCGUACCACAAUUUUAUGUACCUAUACAUUUGUAACAAUACUCUGUACCUAUGAGUUUUUUUCAUAUAAAUUUUUUAUGUAUUGUUGUUGAUUUUUUUUUAAUUAUAAGAAUUUAAAUUUUGGAUAAAUUUUUAUCUAUUUGUAUGAUUGGAGCAUAAAAAUAUACAUGACUUAAGAAUAGGUUUAUAAAUGUUAUAAUACUUAAAUAUGGUAAGUUUUAAUAAUAAAUACUUGAAUUAGAUUUAGAAAACGAUUCAUGUUAAAAUAUAAAAAUAUCUUAUUUAAGUCAUAAAAUCUAAAAACUCCAUUUUUUUUCAAAACUAGUAAAGGAAAAAGUGACGAUGAAACAUUGCGGACAACAAUUGGAGUCGCUCGGGUUAGAUUUCAUGUCUUUUGGAACAAGUAUGGCCAUAUCAGCGGAGUCACUCGAAUUUCACCUAUUGUCCCGGAACAAGGUGAUGGUGGCAUCGCUACUCUGUCAGGUCAAACUCUUCACAGAGUUGUUGAGUCAUGACCAUAUUUUUGAGGUAACGUUAUUCCGAUCAUCCUUUCUCCAACUUUAGAAUACGUACUGUUUGGUCUUCUAUCUUUGUAUAUGAUCCAAUUUCGUACAAUGUAGCAGAGACAUUUCCGACUCAGUGGUGCAAUCUCGAACGUCGUGCAAAAAAAUUGUGAUGAUGAUGAAUACUGUUUGCUUCCUAAUAGAUUAAUAGAGUUUAAUCUGUCAAUCUUUUCGAAGUAAGGAGUGUUGAGGAAAAACAUAGGUAAGCUUAUGGGCCCGGGGUAGAGUUCAAAAGCCAUCUUCGGUGACGUUGUUUUGGAAAAAAACAUCACCUCCAAAUUUAGUAUUUGUAAAGAUUUCCACCGCGAUAUCCGGAAUACCACCUUACUUCGAUACUAGGUAUUAAAUAUUAAGCUAAUGGAAAACCUUUAGCCCUAGACUCACGGUAAUGCAUUGACCAGAUUAAGGUUGAGGAAGUGUCGAAUCAUACCCGGAAAGACCUUUAGAUUUAAAUGUUAGUCUGACAUGUUUGAGUUGUCUUUGUUUGUUGAUUUCGUUUGUUCUUUCACCUUGUCCCCACUCCAAGUCAGAGAAUUUCAAUAGUGCAACGUAUCAUUCUCAGUCCGAAGUGUGUGUCCAUCCCUAGUGAUUCUUAAACGAAAGAUCAUUAGGAACUUGGUUGGCUGCAUGUAGGUCGGAAACACUUUGUAAAUCCUUUUAUCAGACCCUAUGAGUCAGACUCGCGGACUUUGAAUGUCGUUUUCGGUUUCUCCGAAUGUGUCACACAUAUUGCAUGUGGUGAUGACCGGUUGUUGUUUGGAUGGGAUAUUUUGCAUGCGUACGAUAUCCCUUAUGUGCACCCCACUGCGUUAUGGUCUUGGUAGUUAUUAUAUUUUUACUUGGUCAUCAGGCAUUGUUGGUUUAUAGUAAUGUUUGGGUAAUCACUUACCACUCUACUCUCUUAUUUACCCACCAUCACUUCACUCUUCAUUUCUCACCGAAUCUCUCUCUCUCUCUCUCUCUCUCUCACUCACACUCCACCCUCUUGUAUUAUGUGUAUAAUGAUAGCAGAAAAAGUGGCAGUGGAGGUUGUCCAGAGAAAUAUAUUGGCGCCAAUACUGGAUGAUAUUCAUGUGGAGGUUGAGAUAGGAGGACCUCAAUUUUGGUAGAUUUUAGAUGCUGUUAUCUUGUAAAAUGUUAGACAACUUCAUUCACUUAAUAUAUAUUACCUAGUUAAACUCAUUCUAUUUUCUCUUCAGAUCUUGUUUCUAAUCUUAAUACCUCACCCAAUUCGUGAAUUUGAGUUAAGUUUUUUUUUUUUCCUUCUUCUUUUCAAUUUUCUUCUCAACUAAUGCAGUUUAAGGUUUAUUAAUUAUAGAUCGAUAUAAUUAGUAUGUGAGUGGGCAAGAAUCCGAUAUAAUUCAUGUGAAAAAAAAAAUUUCAAUUCUUUUUAAAAAAUUUUGGUAUAGGGCACGAUUAUACAGAAGUGCCCAAUCAGUUGAGAAGGGUUGUCAGACCUAUCUGAAUGAAGGCACAAAUUAGGCUCUAUAGUGCGUUGCCUUAAUAACACAAACAACUAUAUUGUGCCCUUUGACCAAAGGACACACUCAUAAAGGGCACACAUAGAAUUAUCGUUGCUGCACUGUUGCUAUUUGUCUACGAGCACAUAUGUUGGUGCUCUUUGGUCUCAAAGGGCACAAAUAGUUUAAGGAAAACUAAUGAAAAUGGCUUGAAAACUUUGAGUUUUAAUGAGAAGGACAAAAUAAAGGGUAAAGUGAAUAGUAGCAGAUUUGACUUUUUUUGUGUAAAAAUGUGAUUUUUUCGUUAAAAUGAACAGAACCGUAGACUUUUCGUUCGUUAAAACUCCCAAUAAUUUAUUGUGUGCAGUACCCAUAUUUUUUGUAAUGUGCCGAGUGCUAUGCAUAUAUAUAUGCAACCGGAGAGCUUGUCUAACAACCGAUUUCAGCAAUCUUGGUCCAAGAUUUCAAAGAUCUGUCAUCGUAGUCUAUUUCAUACAAUGCAAAGUGAGUUAUGGGGAAGGUCCAGCUAGUAAUGCUCUCGUCGAGAAUAUUAACAAUUUCCCCAGCUUUUUUCCUUUCUUCUUCCGUCAACUACCCGUAGAGGAGACUCAAAUAUGGCAUAGAACCUGCAUCAAAUAUUGCAGACACGCAGAUUACAUACAUACAUUCCCGUCAACACUUUAAGAAAUUAAGUUACUGUAAAUAGCAACUUACUGUUGUAGAAACCGAAAUGGUAGCUCCAACUUUGGGCAUUUUCAAAUAACUAAGAAAAGAAGGUGUAAUGAUAAGUGAGUCUAUUCAAGCUCAAACCAAAAUGAGAAAGAUGAAAAGGAAACAAAACAGAACUAAACAAAACAUCAAGAAAAUAUAUACCUCUCGAUCCAUCAAUAAUGAAACACACUGGUGAUAGUAAUUCUUAGUAACCACCCGAUCAACUUUAGCAACGAUGUCAUUAGGAGCAAAUCUAAACUUGUUAAGGGCAUCCUCACGACUCAUCAUCUGGAUGGAUCCCAAGAUGGGGAUGUGAGGUUCGAUCUCUGGCCCACCAAACUCUGCCUGGAGGCCCUCCAUCACCUUCUUGAUUCUAUGGGAAACAUCAGCCGGUGGAAUGGCCCAAACCGAAAUAUGAGUACAACCUCUGGCAGCUUUCCCUCUUCCCGACUACCAUCACCAUCGCAUCUUCAUCUUUAUCUGAGCAAGUAUUCUCUAUGCUCUUAAGCUUGUGGCUGCGUCCCAUGACUGAAACUAUGCUAUUCACAUAAACAAAAAUAUUCUCAUCAUCUUCUGUUUCAAUGGGAAUAUGCUUAAGCUUUUUUGGUACAAAGAUUAAAGAAAACUACGUGUCCAUCACUGUCAACCAUAAGACACUCAUCCCCCCCACAAUUCCACAGUUCUAGACCUACGUAUCUGAUCAUCUGUGCCCUCAAUAGUCAAGUAUUUUGUCCAAGCACCCUUAAAGUCAUCAUCCAUCACCCACAUUUCAUAAGGUUCAGGAUAUCGACGAUCGUCCACACUAAUGGCAAAAAAAGCAACUGAUUCAUUCCAAACAGUAAGCUUCAAAUAGAGGUGAUUCGACCGGACAAACUGUUGGAGCUCAGAUGGUAAGGGUAUACCGUGAAAUACCUCACGACUUGUAUCGAAGGAAAUGAUCAAUCUCCCAUUCGCAUGGAAUCGAUGCCCAACUACGUCAAAUGGAAAUAAUUCCUUAUCUUGCUCAAUUCCCAGCCAAUAACACAUUCCCUUGAAGGACAUCUGGAAAUACUCAGGCCAAAACAAAGUAGUUUCGGUUUCUAAAGAAUCUGUGUUGAUCUCUUCCCAAAAAUCACAACCCAUGGUGUAUACUACUGCUCUGUGCCGACUAAGAAAAGUCCCGGCAGUCUUCAUGUACCUCUUGAAAAUAAGUAGUAAAGGUCACAACUUUGUACUCAUUAGACAUGGGGUCAUAGCCAAAUCCAGUAUGAAAACCAGUUUCCAUAUGUUCUUGCCCAUCGUAAUCAUCCGGCUGGUCUAAGGGCCACAUUGGAAGGCAUGGCUCAUCGGGAAUACGAUUGAAUUCUCCAAUUCCGGGAUUGCAUAAAACUAGGCUACUCUCACUAGAUAGUAAAACGAUGCCAUUGCAGUGGCCUUGGAUAACAAAUUGUUGUUCCGGCACUCCGAUAUUUUGAAUCAAAAUUGAGGAAUAAUGAUGUCCUGGACACCAACAAGAGAGCAGCUAUUGCUAUGCUCGUCAUCAGUAUUAUCAUCGUCUUUGCAAAACUCAAGAAAUGAUAAUACUUCUUCAGUCUUCUCCUUCUUAGUGGUGCUGUUACACUUGGGCUCCUCCUCCUCCUCCUCAUGCUGCUGCGCUGCACUACUAAUUGCGCCAAAAAGACGUGGAGAGUGGUGAGAUUGUUGUUCGCGGAGUUGGAGAGGUGCUUUGACACGAAACCCGGAUUGUUGAUGAGAGCAGACCACCAUUUAGAGACACAUUUGAAUCGCAUCAGAGUUUUGGGAGGCAGAGUUAGUAGGAUUUUCACCAACAUAUCUUGUCCCAUUUUCAU